rnacentral:lncRNA from 1 species
GAAAGCAUACUUGAUCCUGGAAAUGGAAGGCGUGGAAUGGAUCAAGCGCGAAAGCACUGUCCUCAUUUUCUCUGUUGAGCUUUGGAAUUUUCUUUACGAGACGAAGCUUGUAGGGUUAGGAAUGGCGGAAAAGAAUAGAGAGAGAGUCAAGUAACUGGGAAGUGACUUUAUUCUAAUAGCCGCGUGACAUGAGCCUUCGCAUUCGCCCAGAAUACAGGAACAAACUUGGAAUGGGCACCAGGCGCAACCAAGUAAGCCCAAUUCUGUUCAAACAUUCUAGUCCCGGGUGUUACUAGGAGCACCCAGAAUUUUUUUCUGGGUACCCAACAACAC